rnacentral:rRNA from 1 species
UACGUAGGGUGCGAGCGUUAAUCGGAAUUACUGGGCGUAAAGCGUGCGCAGGCGGUUCGUUGUGUCGGUGGUGAAAUCCCCGGGCUUAACCUGGGAAUGGCCAUGGAAACUGGCGAGCUGGAGUGCGGCAGAGGGGGGUGGAAUUCCGCGUGUAGCAGUGAAAUGCGUAGAGAUCGGGAGGAACACCUGUGGCGAAGGCGGCCCCCUGGGCCGGCCCUGACGCUGAGACGCGAAGGCGUGGGGAGCGAACGGG